AUGAGUUCUAAUAUGCAGCGCCAAGCAGUUCCGCUUUCUCGGUCCGAGAAAUGCAUUGUUGGAACUGGAUUGGAACUCCAAACAGCUCUAGAUUCGAGGGUUUCCAUUAUAGCCGAACGCGAGGGAAAGAUCAUUUCUACUGAUACUUUAAUGUAA
rnacentral:rRNA from 1 species